CCUGCCCAAGAGAUCGGGAUAACACCUGGAAACAGAUGCUAAUACCGGAUAACAACAGAUGAUGCCUAUCAACUGUUUAAAAGAUGGUUCUGCUAUCACUCUUGGAUGGACCUGCGGUGCAUUAGCUAGUUGGUAGGGUAACGGCCUACCAAGGCGAUGAUGCAUAGCCGAGUUGAGAGACUGAUCGGCCACAUUGGGACUGAGACACGGCCCAAACUCCUACGGGAGGCAGCAGAG
rnacentral:rRNA from 1 species